UCAAGCGACUAAGUGUAUGUGGUGGAUGCCUUGGCGAUCACAGGCGAUGAAGGACGUGACAGCCUGCGAAAAGCUGUGGGGAGCUGGCAAAUAAGCUUUGAUCCACAGAUGUCCGAAUGAGGGAACUCACCUGCUUUGCAGGUAUCCCAUCCUGAAUAUAUAGGGAUGGGAGGCGAACGAAGCGAACUGAAACAUCUAAGUAGCUUCAGGAAAAGAAAUCAACCGAGAUUCCGAAAGUAGCGGCGAGCGAAAUCGGAUCAGCCCAGCACUCGAUAGCAGCCAACUUACGGGAACGGUCUGGAAAGUCCGGCCAUAGAGGGUGAUAGCCCCUUACUGGAAAAGGCAGCUGUGGUACUAAGUGUGCGAUAAGUAGAGCGGGACACGUGACAUCCUGCUCGAAGAUGGGGGGACCAUCCUCCAAGGCUAAAUACUCGUGAUCGACCGAUAGCGUACCAGUACUGUGAAGGAAAGGUUAAAAGAACCCCGGGAGGGGAGUGAAAUAGAUCCUGAAACCGCAUACAUACAAACAGUAGGAGCCUCGUUAAGGGGUGACUGCGUACCUUUUGCAUAAUGGGUCAGCGACUUACGUUUAAUGGCGAGCUUAACCGUAUAGGGGAGGCGCAGCGAAAGCGAGUUCGAACAGAGCGUUCAGUCGUUAGGCGUAGACCCGAAACCAGAUGAUCUAUCCAUGGCCAGGUUGAAGGUGUGGUAACACACACUGGAGGACCGAACCGACUAGUGUUGCAAAAUUAGCGGAUGAGCUGUGGAUAGGGGUGAAAGGCUAAACAAAUCUGGAGAUAGCUGGUUCUCCCCGAAAACUAUUGAGGUAGUGCCUCGUGUAUGACUCCAGGGGGUAGAGCACUGUUAUGGCUAGGGGGACAUGGCGUCUUACCAAACCAUGGCAAACUCCGAAUACUUGGAAGUUUGAGCACGGGAGACAGAGCACCGGGUGCUAACGUCCGGACUCAAGAGGGAAACAACCCAGACCGCCGGCUAAGGUCCCUAAUAUUGACUAAGUGGAAAACGAAGUGGAAAGGCUAAGACAGUCAGGAAGUUGGCUUAGAAGCAGCCAUCCUUCAAAGAAAGCGUAAUAGCUCACUGAUCGAGUCUUUCUGCGCGGAAGAUGUAACGGGGCUAAGUCAAUAACCGAAGCCGCGGAUUCACACUUGUGUGUGAGUGGUAGGGGAGCGUUCUGUAAGCCUGCGAAGGUGACUCGUAAGGGUUGCUGGAGGUAUCAGAAGUGCGAAUGCUGACAUGAGUAACGUUAAAGCGGGUGAAAAGCCCGCUCGCCGUAAGCCCAAGGUUUCCUGCUCUACGUUCAUCGGAGCAGGGUGAGUCGGCCCCUAAGGUGAGGCUGAGAAGCGUAACUGAUGGGAACAAGGUUAAUAUUCCUUGACCACCGCUGAAUGCGAAGGGGGGACGGAGUAUUGAAGAUCAUCCGGGUGUUGGAUAUCCCGGUUUGCGAGCGUAGGAGGCUGACAGGCAAAUCCGUCAGCGAAUCUCCGAGGCGAAGCAUCGAGCUCUCUUUUGAGCGAAGUGAUUGGAUGUGCUUCCAGGAAAAGCCUCUAAGCUCCAGUUCAGCGGGACCGUACCGCAAACCGACACUGGUGGGCGAGCUGAAUAUGCUCAGGCGCUUGAGAGAACUCAGGAGAAGGAACUCGGCAAAUUGACACCGUAACUUCGGGAUAAGGUGUGCCUUUGUAGCGUGAAGGGAGAAACACCCCGAGCGCGAAGAGGUCUCAGAUAAUCGGUGGCUGCGACUGUUUAUUAAAAACACAGCACUCUGCAAAGACGAAAGUCGACGUAUAGGGUGUGAUGCCUGCCCGGUGCUGGAAGAUUAAUUGAUGGGGUGCAAGCUCCUGAUCGAAGUCCCAGUAAACGGCGGCCGUAACUAUAACGGUCCUAAGGUAGCGAAAUUCCUUGUC
rnacentral:rRNA from 1 species